AGAGAGACGGUGGACUAGGGGAAGAACGAGGAAGAAGAGGAGGUGAUUGAAGGAGACGAUCGGUUCGUUCAAAGGAGGAAAUCAAGCAAGGAUUUGAUAUUUGUUCAAGUCCAUUAAGAAGGGAGCCAAGGAAGAAGCAAGGGGAAGUUAGUACAGAA